AAUAGAUACCCAGGUAGUCCACGCCGUAAACGAUGAGUGCUAAGUGUUAGAGGGUUUCCGCCCUUUAGUGCUGCAGCUAACGCAUUAAGCACUCCGCCUGGGGAGUACGGUCGCAAGACUGAAACUCAAAGGAAUUGACGGGGGCCCGCACAAGCGGUGGAGCAUGUGGUUUAAUUCGAAGCAACGCGAAGAACCUUACCAGGUCUUGACAUCCUCUGACAACUCUAGAGAUAGAGCGUUCCCCUUCGGGGGACAGAGUGACAGGUGGUGCAUGGUUGUCGUCAGCUCGUGUCGUGAGAUGUUGGGUCAAGUCCCGCAACGAGCGCAACCCUUGAUCUUAGUUGCCAGCAUUCAGUUGGGCACUCUAAGGUGACUGCCGGUGACAAACCGGAGGAAGGUGGGGACGACGUCAAAUCAUCAUGCCCCUUAUGACCUGGGCUACACGCGUGCUACAAUGGACGGUCAAAGAGUCGCAAGACCGCGAGGUGGAGCUAAAUCUCAUAAAACCGUUCUCAGUUCGGAUUGCG
rnacentral:rRNA from 1 species